rnacentral:rRNA from 1 species
UACGAAGGGGGCUAGCGUUGCUCGGAAUCACUGGGCGUAAAGGGUGCGUAGGCGGGUUUUAAGUCAGAGGUGAAAUCCUGGAGCUCAACUCCAGAACUGCCUUUGAUACUGAAAGUCUUGAGUAUGGGAGAGGUGAGUGGAACUGCGAGUGUAGAGGUGAAAUUCGUAGAUAUCGAGAAGAACACCGGUGGCGAAGGCGGCCAUCUGGACGGUGACUGACGCUGAGACGCGAAAGCGUGGGGAGCAAACAGG